UCAAAAACAUAGCCUUUAGCCCCACAAGUAUUAAAGGUCCCGCCUGCCCAGUGACUCUUUAAACGGCCGCGGUAUCCUAACCGUGCAAAGGUAGCAUAAUCACUUGUCCCUUAAAUAGGGACUGGAAUGAACGGCUAAAUGAGGAUUAAACUGUCUCUUGCGAGCCGGUCAAUGAAUUUGAUUUUCCAGUUCAAAAGCUGGAAUAAACACAUAAGACGAGAAGACCCUGUGGAGCUUCAAAACCUAGUUCACCAAAUAAUGCUUCCUUCGGUUUUUAGUUGGGGCGACUUCGGAGCACAAAAAAACCUCCAAAACAUGUAAACCCAUUAUAUUAAGAUCAACAAACCACAAAACCACAAGAUCCAGCAACAGCCCUUAAUGUUGUCUGACCAAUGAACCAAGUUACCCCAGGGAUAACAGCGCCAUCCCCUUCUAGAGUCCCUAUCGACAAGGGGGUUUACGACCUCGAUGUUGGAUCAGGACACCCCAAUGGUGCAGCCGCCACUAAAGGUUCGUUUGUUCAACGAUUAAUAGUCCUA
rnacentral:rRNA from 1 species